rnacentral:rRNA from 1 species
AGAGUUUGAUCAUGGCUCAGGAUGAACGCUAGCUACAGGCUUAACACAUGCAAGUCGAGGGGAAACGACAUCGAAAGCUUGCUUUUGAUGGGCGUCGACCGGCGCACGGGUGAGUAACGCGUAUCCAACCUGCCCACCACUUGGGGAUAACCUUGCGAAAGUAAGACUAAAUACCCAAUGAUAUCUCUAGAAGACAUCUGAAAGAGAUUAAAGAUUUAUCGGUGAUGGAUGGGGAUGCGUCUGAUUAGCUUGUUGGCGGGGUAACGCCACAAGGCGACGAUCAGUAGGGGUUCUGAGAGGAACGGUCCCCANAUUGGAACUGAGACACGGUCCAAACUCCUAGGGAGGCA